rnacentral:misc_RNA from 1 species
CAACCCUCAAGUGCUUUAGUGCUUGGUGUUGGGGCUUCUGCUGCUUGCAGCAGGCCCUGAAAGAUAGUGGCGAGCUCGCCGUGACCCUGAGCGUAGUAGUUUUACACCUCGCUUCUGUGGCUCGCGGCGGGUUCUCAGCCGUGAAACCCCAAUUUUUUGU